UCUUUUAGGUCGUUCCUUACCAGCAAAUAAGGGAAUUCAAAGAUCGGGGACAUCUGCUAGAGCUCGCAAUUGACAUUUCUCACUAAGUUUUUAGGAGAUUCCCAAGAGUUCGACUGACUAAGAGGCUUUCACCGAGGUCUAUUUUUUACUUUUGGUGGUAACAACAGAGUGAUCCUCUAACGUUUACAUCCUAGAAACUAGGAAAAGGAGUAAGCAUACAUAUCUGAAAGCAGAGAUGCCACCUCUCGUUAUUGACUUACUUUGAGAGAACUCAGUCCUUGGCUUAUGGCAGGAAAACCGGUAGUUA
rnacentral:lncRNA from 1 species